UGCGAAGGAGCAAAGAGUAUUCAGAAGUCCUGCUACAGGCUUAGCUGAUAUCAUACACACAAAAGUUUGGCAGAUCUGAACGCCUGUCAAGCCAUUCCAAGAAGCAGAAGGAGAAUGGGCUGUACUACGAGUAAAGGUGGUGUGGUGGAUGGAUCUCACAAACCUGAAAGUUCCUCCGAUCAAGAACAACAAAAUCAGGAAUCUGCCACUGAAACCUCCCCUGAGGCAAACCAACAAUGUCAAACCAAUGAACAACCUACGGAUCAAACCAGUUAAAUGUGUAGCCACUCUAGGAUGGAACACCCAAGUGUGGCUUACCAUUGAGUGGCUUACCAAAGAAAAAGCAUCAGCUGUCUUCAUGACCAGAACGUAUGGAUGUGGCAAUACAGUGGACUCAACUUUUCAAAAUUGUUUGAACUCAAAUCAUCACAAAACUUUUGACAGCUUCUUCAAUUGAAAUUGAAUCAACAGCAGUAUACUUAAAGCAUGUUAAAGCAUCUUACAGUAUAUUUAAAGCAUGUUAAAAUGAGGUGUUUUAAAAUGAAAUAAUACUUUAUUGAUUAAAGCAGUUAAAAUUAAAGCAGUUUUAAAACAGUUAACACUAAAAUGCCCUUUAUAAUAAGGGUGGUCGUUUUGUCAGUAUUGGGUUUUAUUUGAAUUAAAUGAAAUAUCAAAAGCUUGAA